UGAGGAAGACUUGGAAAGGGUGCCACUGCUCAGCCCUUCGUUACGCAUCCGCUGAAGAAAGAGAUUGAACAAAUGGGAGACUCUGUUUUCUGCCAGGUGUUUUGACAGUUUCACAGCAUCUGUUCUUACCUCCUCCAGGGUCUCAUCCUGUGGCGUGGCGGCACUGUCGUCAGAGUCUUUCUGCGAGCCAGUAGGCAGGCAAGCCACCUCCACACAGUGAUGACGCUCCUUGGGGAAUCUGUAGGAGGAAAAACCUUCAUCGAAGAGAAACGCAACGAGGAAAUGAAACAGGAUAAAGGGAGGCUUCAGGCUUUGAGAGAUAAUCCCUUUCAUUCAUGUUGAAAAUCAUUCUUUAGAGGCUUCAUAAAAACUAAAAAGUAUGAAUGUUACUGGAACCCACCCAAGAAUCGGAUUAAAGAUGGGAGCCUUUGACAUUGCAAUCACUUAGCUGUUUCAUGGAUGCAGAUGCAGCUGUUGAACAUUAAUUCAAGUGACUCACUUGAGCAACACUUAUGAAUGGCAGGUGUGAGUGUGGAGACUCUGCCUGUUCUCACACAGCCUGAGAAAAUGCAACGGCGCUACAUGUAAAUGUGCGUGCCAGCGGUUGAGCCUCUGAAAUACUUUUACUGCUCUCCGUUUAUAGGAAGCAUGUGUUCAUGCUUCACAUGCAAGUGGAGAAAACAAUGUAGUUCCCAGAAACGCUGACACGUCAGGCAUUGUGAAGAAACUAUUAAAAUCAUGUCCACUGACGUGAUUAGCGUGACCGAAUAAAAUUGUUGUCUUUGGACAAUAUGGGCUUCCGAUUUAAGAUUAUAUGAUCAAUUUGUCAUGAUUGAGCACAAUAAAAUGUUGAUUUGUA